CGCUAUAACUGACGUUUUAAAGUCAAUUUUGUGGUUUGCCCUACUAAUAAUUCACCUGCUUAUCUUAAUUUUAUGAGCUUGCUUACUAUAAGUCCAAGAUUUGUCACAUACGCUUGUAAAUGAAGCAUUAGGUCCGAUUCUUUAGGUCCAUUUGCAUGACAUUCAUCCUUUGUCUCGACCCUUGUUACAAAAUUUAUCCAACUUUCAUUUGAUAAUGAACAUUUUAUUUCUCUUGAGUAAUUUUGGAAUUCGCCCAUUGGCUUUAUUUUCGCUUAUUUUGAUUGAAAACGGUGUAUGUUACUUUGACUUUAAAAAUGGCACAACUGAGUCAAUGGACGUCAUAGCGGGACAGAAACCUUUUGACAACUGUGAGGAUGUCUGCCCGGAAGGUGAAAAGAUGAAAAAGAUCAAGGACUGUGAAAUAGAGAAGCCCAAUGGUUGUGGUCCCGAGGGUCUUCCUGAUUUCAUACUCGAUGUUUCUGACUUGAUGACGACUGAAUCCACGCAGAGAUGCUGUGAGGAACAUGACAUGUGUUACUCGGCUUGUCGCUCUGAAUUUACUAAAUGCGAGAAAGAAUUCAGAUUCCUUGAUACCAGAGAAUGUCUGGCGGGAGUAGACGACACGCUGUCGUGGGUCACGGAUGCUGCUGGUUGCAAGUACUUCAAAAGAGCACAGAACAUGGGCUGCAGAUGUCACAAUGAGUCAUCAACUCUGUCGGAAUUAGACGGAGUGUGUCCAUAAAUUUGAGCCUCAGAUAACAUAAUUCAACCUAGAGAAAAACCUCCAAACAACCUAUUUGGCUCUUUCCCAGUUUCCCAACCCAUCAAAAACUACAAAAUAAAGCUGUUCCAAAUUUGUUCACUUGACAUUUUGCAUGUAAGUUUUAUUGUAGAAACUUGUUCACCUGUGCACACUGACGCGUUUUAAGCAGUUUAUAACUUGAAAAUCUUUUUGA